CCUUACCUACCCUUGACAUGUUCGGAAUUCUGCAGAGAUGCGGAAGUGCUCGAAAGAGAACCGGAACACAGGUGCUGCAUGGCUGUCGUCAGCUCGUGUCGUGAGAUGUUGGGUUAAGUCCCGCAACGAGCGCAACCCUUGUCAUUAGUUGCUACGAAAGGGCACUCUAAUGAGACUGCCGGUGACAAACCGGAGGAAGGUGGGGAUGACGUCAAGUCCUCAUGGCCCUUAUGGGUAGGGCUUCACACGUCAUACAAUGGUCGGUACAGAGGGCUGCCAACCCGCAAGGGGGAGCCAAUCCUUUAAAACCGAUCGUAGUCCGGAUUGAGGUCUGCAACUCGACCUCAUGAAGUCGGAAUCGCUGGUAAUCGCGGAUCAGCAUGUCGCGGUGAAUACGUUCCCGGGUCUU
rnacentral:rRNA from 1 species